AAAGUCUUCAGAAAGUAUAGCAUCUAGUUCUAUUUUACUUUCGUGAUUGUUUUGAUUUCAAGUCAAAGAUGGGAUUUGGAGACAGCUCGAUUUGCUAUAAAAUAGCGACUGUUGUUUCUGGGUUCGGUCUUUUAUUCUUUAUUAUUGGAUAUUCGACGGACAAUUGGUUUGACAUUGAAUCAGGGGAUACAAAGGGAUCAUAUGGAUUGUGGGGAUGGGCGCUCGAAAUCAAGGGUGAUGAAAGAGAAGGAACGAAAUCGGAGAGUGGUAAAAUUUCAAGUACUGUAAAAUUACUAUAUGAUUUCGACUUUAAAUUAAGUGAAGCCAUAAAGUUAGGGAGAGUAUUUGGUAUAAUGGGUUUGGUCGCCGCUGCAGUUUGUAUUGCUCUUCUCUUAGUUUAUAUGUUUUCUAUAAAGAAACAAUUGAUAAAAACAUUGACCCUUACCGCUGGUAUUGGAUCCAGUUUACUUUUCUUGGUGGGAGUCAUAGUGAUGAGUGUGGAUGUUACAAUCGAGUGCAUUUUUAAAACGGCGAUAAUUAGUUUUGGUUAUUCAUUCUGGUUAGCAAUGGUUGGUGGAAUUCUCUACUGGGCAGUAGGAAUCUUGAUCAUAGUGGAUAUUAAGUUAUCUGAACGCCAACCAGAGAACCUGCAUGAAUAAAAAUCUGAUCAAUCUGAUUAAAACACAGACCCUAUUUCGUUUCGUUUUUUAUAGUUCAAAAUUUUGUUUUACUUGUCUUUACUACACUAGGAUCAAUCUGCUUCACAGAGGAUUACGAAAGUCUUCUAAUAUCUCUGUAAAAGAAUACCUUCAACACGUGAUGUCACAUCACGCGGCGUCAAUCAUUGGCUCAAUGGUGCGUGCACUGUUUACGUAAGGCAUUACUGGUUCAGGUAGAAUGGUGUCUUUUACUCAUUUUAAUACCCAUUUACACUAAAUAGGAAAUAAUUUUUACCUACAAAUAUGUCAAAUGUCUUUAUUUAUUUUUCUAAUACAUAAGAAAAAAUGUUUAAGAAUUUAAUUUGUGGGAGGAAAAAAGUUAAUAUUUGUGGCUCAUUAAGUCGCAUCACUGUUAUCCUUAUCAGUGAUUGUAGCGGCCUAGCAAAUAUUCACGGCUGAUCAGUGUGAGCUAGGAUCUGGAAGAGUUGUUAUCAUUGACGUAUUCUGGAUGAUAGCCUUUGAAACGAUCUGUUACGGUGCACAGAAUUGUGGGUAAUCCACUAGAACAUCAAUGCUGAUUGGUAAAUCAAAUAUAUGACGUUGUAGGGUCAAAAGCCGCUCGAAUGACCUCUGACGCAACCCCCCAAAACAACUGGUCAGAGCUUCAUGUAGUUAAAGCCAUCGAAAGUAUAAAAAAAAACGAAACGAAAUAUAGAUUUGUAUUUUAAUCAGAUUGAACUCAGAUGUAAAUUACUAAAUAUUUUCCAAAAUAUAUUUCCGUUCGACCAUACUUUCCGUGCACAUUCCUAUUUUUGAAAUAAGAGGGCAUAUUGGGAUCUUUGCAUUCUGAUUAAAGGAGCUAAGUCUCUAACUCAAUAUCAUCCAAAACCUUCGACAAUGAAAACACAAAUUAUCUGUCAAUUUUAAUCAACAUUGGUGUUGUAAUCUUACUGGGAAAAGAUGGGCUUCUGAUAUCCAAUAUUUAAGACAAAAUAAACAUUUUAUGAUUGGUACACGAAUCGCGUACCAUAAUGCGUUUCAGCGCAAUUAUUAACAAGCGACUCGGAAGAACAAGGUUAGAUAUAUUCCACAAAUCUGGAGAGCAUGCGCAAUAAUUACUAUCGGUGUAGACUGGAAUAACCAGACGCUAUAGAUUGCCAUUCGAUUGAGACUUCUGGCGUAUUUCGCCGAACAUAACUGCUUUGAAAUUAGCGUAAAACGGAAACAAUUGAAUGUAAAUCAUUUUUUUUAGAUUCAUAUUACAUUAUUAUAUUCGUUGCGACCCAUUUGUGUCAAUUUGUAGAUCCCAAAUAUUAGCAACUUAGCUCCUUUAAAUCAGUUAUGUUUUAUGUUGUGUACAAAUUGUAAUCUAUCUUUAGACAGGGGUCUUGACAGUAAAAAUUUAAUAUUCAGACAAAAAGGUAUAUGCUCUUCUCUUUUUCAGAAAUGAUCUGUUGUGGUAAAAAAUAAUGUUGCAUGCUUAUAUUUGAAAAGUUCGUUGUAAUUAAUAUUUUUUUAGUUAAUAUGAGUAUUAUAA